rnacentral:piRNA from 1 species
UACCUGUGAUCUGAAAUGCCUUGUGUUC